GCCACAUGAUGUUAUAUAGACGGCAUUAGCACUCAGUGCAAAGAUGACCUAGUAUCUAUCACCCGAGACUGAUGGUU